GUGCAGUGUUUAGCGUUUUCAUGUCCGCCUUUUUCUCCAUCAUCUGUUACAGAGUGAAUGGCCGUGGGAGUUACUUUCAAACAUAUUUUUCACCAAGUAUCAUUUGAAGUCAAGGUUUCAUUCGCUGGAGCGACAUAAGUGUUACCAAAUAGUAUUAUACUACUUCGGUCAUUCUUGAAAAAGAAACCAACCCAGUAUUAUUCACCCUUGACCGCAAAGUAGCGCGUGGUCAACCGACUCUCGACCCUGACCCAUGCCAAGAAGAUUCUGUUCUCAUCUCACCUUGGACUCUUCUGACCGGUGACUUCCAUCCGAUCGAAUGAAAUGUCCGUGACCUGGUUCCACAAUGACCCACAGGAAGAAGAGGUAUUAAAAGCGAAAGUUGAUGUCUGAUGCAAUUACCUUUAAGGCUCGUGAUCUAGAAACGGCGACCGUUCCGGUGCAACUGCAGGUAAAAAGCGAAAAGUUCCUGAAUGAAUUUUUGCAUUCAGCAAUUGCGACUCUUGAAACUUCGAACAAGGUCUCCAAGAAGCUAACAAAAAACAAAUCGAAAAUUUUUAGUAUUUUAGAUCUUCCUUCAGAGGAUGUUUUACACUUUAUGAUGCAAGUACUGAAAAGGAUUUCGCUAGAGAAAUUUACUUAUAAUUCCGCUCGAAGCAACUUUGAUAAAACUACGAAGCACUGAAUUUUGGUUUUGAAGUCUAGUACAGAAGCAUGAUUAUGUCAGAUCAGUUUUUCUGUCGACGUCAGUGAAAACAAAUUCAAACCUCCCUCACACAUACCAUGUCCCUCCCACGUACCAAAAAUAGCUUCUCGGACAGACGAGUUACUUUACCGACAUCCCACUAGAAAGAACCAGAGGCGGAGAAGAAACAGGAAAGAGGCUCAAAACUCACUGUAGGUUUAAGGAGACUAACUGAGUGCGAUUGAGCAGUUUUUGGAGGUUGAUUUUCUCCUAUUUUCUUUAUAUCGCCGAUUAUACUUAAUUCAGUAUCGAAAAAGAGGAUAUUAAAUAAUCAUUGUUAUUUCAUUUUUCUUUUCAAAUGGAUGUAAAAUCAGAAUAAAAAAACGAAGAUAAAAUUUA